rnacentral:sRNA from 1 species
AUGGCUGUCGUCAGCUCGUGUCGUGAGAUGUUGGGUUAAGUCCCGCAACGAGCGCAACCCCUGUCCCAUGUUGCCAGCGUGAAAGACGGGGACUCAUGGGAGACUGCCGGUGACAAAUCGGAGGAAGGUGGGGAUGACGUCAAGUCAGCAUGACCCUUAUGCCUAGGGCUACACACGUGCUACAUUGGCCGGUACGAAGGGCUGCAAACCCGCGAGGGGGAGCGAAUCCCAAAAAGCCGGUCCCGGUUCGGAUUGAAGGCUGAAACUCGCCUUCAUGAAGGCGGAGUUGCUAGUAAUCGCGGAUCAGCAUUGCCGCGGUGAAUACGUUCCCGGGCCUUGUACACACCGCCCGUCACACCACGAAAGUCGGCAAUACCCGAAGCCGGUGGCCUAACCCGCAAGGGGGGGAACCGUCGAAGGUAGGGUUGAUGAUUGGGGUGAAGUCGUAACAAGGUAGCCGUAGCGGAAGCUGCGGCUGGAUCACCUCCUUUCUAGGGAUCCCAGAGGCAAUUAUCUCUGGUGGCUGCCAGCCAUGUCGUAUGGAUUCACUCUGAAUCCGUCCAUGUCCUGGCUCGCCUAGAUCAACGUCGACCUCGACUGAAAGUGUCUGUGCUUGCACAGGCUGAAGCCGUUCGCUGUUGAGUUUUGAGAGACCGGUGCUCGUCUCCCUUUCGGAGACAUGAGGCCGGCGUUCUCGUUGGGCGAGCUCGGCUCGCGCGCACCUUGAAAACUCCAUAGCUGCGAAAUUAUGAGUUCUUCACGAUCAAGAGAAUAAGGGCACACGGUGGAUGCCUUGGCGCCAAGAGCCGAAGAAGGACGUGGGCGGCUGCGAUAAGCUCGGGUGAGGUGCUGACCAACCUUUGACCCCGAGAUUUCCGAAUGGGGAAACCCGG